rnacentral:rRNA from 1 species
UACGUAGGGCGCAAGCGUUUAUCCGGAAUUAUUGGGCGUAAAGAGCUCGUAGGCGGUUUGUCGCGUCUGCCGUGAAAGUCCGGGGCUCAACUCCGGAUCUGCGGUGGGUACGGGCAGACUAGAGUGAUGUAGGGGAGACUGGAAUUCCUGGUGUAGCGGUGAAAUGCGUAGAUAUCAGGAGGAACACCGGUGGCGAAGGCGGGUUGCUGGGCUGACACUGACGCUGAAGCGCGAAGCUAGGGAGCGACGGG